rnacentral:rRNA from 1 species
AAAUCCGGUUCACUUUAACACUGAGGCGUGACGACGAGGCACUACGGUGCUGAAGCAACAAAUGCCCUGCUUCCAGGAAAAGCCUCUAAGCAUCAGGUAACAUCAAAUCGUACCCCAAACCGACACAGGUGGUCAGGUAGAGAAUACCAAGGCGCUUGAGAGAACUCGGGUGAAGGAACUAGGCAAAAUGGUGCCGUAACUUCGGGAGAAGGCACGCUGACACGUAGGUGAAGUGAUUUACUCAUGGAGCUGAAGUCAGUCGAAGAUACCAGCUGGCUGCAACUGUUUAUUAAAAACACAGCACUGUGCAAACACGAAAGUGGACGUAUACGGUGUGACGCCUGCCCGGUGCCGGAAGGUUAAUUGAUGGGGUCAGCGCAAGCGAAGCUCCUGAUCGAAGCCCCGGUAAACGGCGGCCGUAACUAUAACGGUCCUAAGGUAGCGAAAUUCCUUGUCGGGUAAGUUCCGACCUGCACGAAUGGCGUAAUGAUGGCCAGGCUGUCUCCACCCGAGACUCAGUGAAAUUGAACUCGCUGUGAAGAUGCAGUGUACCCGCGGCAAGACGGAAAGACCCCGUGAACCUUUACUAUAGCUUGACACUGAACAUUGAGCCUUGAUGUGUAGGAUAGGUGGGAGGCUUUGAAGUGUGGACGCCAGUCUGCAUGGAGCCGACCUUGAAAUACCACCCUUUAAUGUUUGAUGUUCUAACGUGGACCCGUUACCCGGGUUGCGGACAGUGUCUGGUGGGUAGUUUGACUGGGGCGGUCUCCUCCUAAAGAGUAACGGAGGAGCACGAAGGUUGGCUAAUCCUGGUCGGACAUCAGGAGGUUAGUGCAAUGGCAUAAGCCAGCUUGACUGCGAGCGUGACGGCGCGAGCAGGUGCGAAAGCAGGUCAUAGUGAUCCGGUGGUUCUGAAUGGAAGGGCCAUCGCUCAACGGAUAAAAGGUACUCCGGGGAUAACAGGCUGAUACCGCCCAAGAGUUCAUAUCGACGGCGGUGUUUGGCACCUCGAUGUCGGCUCAUCACAUCCUGGGGCUGAAGUAGGUCCCAAGGGUAUGGCUGUUCGCCAUUUAAAGUGGUACGCGAGCUGGGUUUAGAACGUCGUGAGACAGUUCGGUCCCUAUCUGCCGUGGGCGCUGGAGAACUGAGGGGGGCUGCUCCUAGUACGAGAGGACCGGAGUGGACGCAUCACUGGUGUUCGGGUUGUCAUGCCAAUGGCACUGCCCGGUAGCUAAAUGCGGAAGAGAUAAGUGCUGAAAGCAUCUAAGCACGAAACUUGCCCCGAGAUGAGUUCUCCCUGAGACUUAGAGUCUCCUGAAGGAACGUUGAAGACGACGACGUUGAUAGGCCGGGUGUGUAAGCGCAGCGAUGCGUUGAGCUAACCGGUAC